rnacentral:rRNA from 1 species
CCUACGGGUGGCAGCAGUGAGGAAUAGUGGUCAAUGGACGGAAGUCUGAACCAGCCAUGCCGCGUGCAGGAAGACGGCGCUAUGAGUUGUAAACUGCUUGUGUACAAGGGUAAACCUGAAGACGUGUAUUCAGCUGAAAGUACUGUACGAAUAAGGAUCGGCGAACUCCGUGCCAGCAGCCGCGGUAAUACGGAGGAUCCAAGCGUUAUCCGGAUUUAUUGGGUUUAAAGGGUGCGUAGGCGGAUUGAUAAGUUAGAGGUGAAAUGUCCGCGCUUACCUCGGGAACUGCCUCUCAUACUGUUGAUCUAGAGCGUAGAUGCGGUAGGCGGAAUGUAUUGUGUAGCGGU